rnacentral:rRNA from 1 species
AGUGAACGCUGGCGGCGUGCUUAACACAUGCAAGUCGAACGGAAACAGGAUGAAGCCUAGCGAUUCCUGUUUUAGUGGCGGACGGGUGAGUAACGCGUGGGUAACCUGCCUUACACUGGGGGAUAACAGUUAGAAAUAGCUGCUAAUACCGCAUAAGCGCACAGGGCCGCAUGGCCUGGUGUGAAAAACUCCGGUGGUGUAAGAUGGACCCGCGUCUGAUUAGCUAGUUGGUGAGGUAACGGCCCACCAAGGCGACGAUAAGUAGCCGGCCUGAGAGGGUGAACGGCCACAUUGGGACUGAGACACGGCCCAAACUCCUACGGGAGGCAGCAGUGGGGAAUAUUGCACAAUGGGGGAAACCCUGAUGCAGCGACGCCGCGUGAGUGAAGAAGUAUUUCGGUAUGUAAAGCUCUAUCAGCAAGGAAGAAAAUGACGGUACUUGACUAAGAAGCCCCGGCUAACUACGUGCCAGCCGCCGCAGUAA